CUACGGGCGGCUGCAGUGGGGAAUAUUGCACAAUGGGGGGAACCCUGAUGUAGCAACGCCGCGUGGAGGAUGACGCAUUUCGGUGUGUAAACUCCUUUUAUAUGUCAAGAAAAUGACGGUAGCAUAUGAAUAAGCACCGGCUAACUCCGUGCCAGCAGCCGCGGUAAUACGGAGGGUGCAAGCGUUACUCGGAAUCACUGGGCGUAAAGGACGCGUAGGCGGGUUGGAAAGUCAGGUGUGAAAUCCUACAGCUUAACUGUAGAACUGCACUUGAAACUUCUAAUCUAGAGUAUGGGAGGGGGAGAUGGAAUUAGUGGUGUAGGGGUAAAAUCCGUAGAUAUCACUAGGAAUACCUAAAGCGAAGGCGAUCUCCUGGAACAUUACUGACGCUAAGGCGUGAAAGCGUGGGGAGCAAACAGGAUUAGAUACCCGGGUAGUC
rnacentral:rRNA from 1 species